rnacentral:rRNA from 1 species
ACUUACUUGGAUAACUGUGGUAAUUCUAGAGCUAAUACAUGCAAACAGAGCUCCGACCGGAGACGGGAGGAGUGCUUUUAUUAGAUCAAAACCAAUCGGUGGCGGGCUCGCUCGUCAUCGUACAACUUGGUGACUCUGAAUAACUUUAUGCUGAUCGCACGGUCUUAGCACCGGCGACGCAUCUUUCAAAUGUCUGCCUUAUCAACUGUCGAUGGUAGGUUCUGCGCCUACCAUGGUUGUAACGGGUAACGGGGAAUCAGGGUUCGAUUCCGGAGAGGGAGCCUGAGAAACGGCUACCACAUCCAAGGAAGGCAGCAGGCGCGCAAAUUACCCACUCCCGGCACGGGGAGGUAGUGACGAAAAAUAACGAUACGGGACUCAUCCGAGGCCCCGUAAUCGGAAUGAGUACACUCUAAACCCUUUAACGAGGAUCAAUUGGAGGGCAAGUCUGGUGCCAGCAGCCGCGGUAAUUCCAGCUCCAAUAGCGUAUAUUAAAGUUGUUGCGGUUAAAAAGCUCGUAGUCGAAUUUGUGUCUCGUGCCGCUGGUUCAUCGUUCGCGGUGUUAACUGGCGAGUUGCGAGACGUCCUGCCGGUGGGCUUAGCUCGCAAGAGCGGCCCAACUCAAUCCUGCCGCGGUGCUCUUAAUUGAGUGUCGAGGUGGGCCGGCACGUUUACUUUGAACAAAUUAGAGUGCUUAAAGCAGGCUAAAACUUCGCCUGAAUACUGUGUGCAUGGAAUAAUGGAAUAGGACCUCGGUUCUAUUUUGUUGGUUUUCGGAACCCCGAGGUAAUGAUUAAUAGGAACGGAUGGGGGCAUUCGUAUUGCGACGUUAGAGGUGAAAUUCUUGGAUCGUCGCAAGACGGACAGAAGCGAAAGCAUUUGCCAAAAACGCUUUCAUUGAUCAAGAACGAAAGUUAGAGGUUCGAAGGCGAUCAGAUACCGCCCUAGUUCUAACCAUAAACGAUGCCAGCUAGCGAUCCGUCGACGUUCCUCCGAUGACUCGACGGGCAGCUUCCGGGAAACCAAAGCUUUUGGGUUCCGGGGGAAGUAUGGUUGCAAAGCUGAAACUUAAAGGAAUUGACGGAAGGGCACCACCAGGAGUGGAGCCUGCGGCUUAAUUUGACUCAACACGGGAAACCUCACCAGGCCCGGACACCGGAAGGAUUGACAGAUUGAGAGCUCUUUCUUGAUUCGGUGGGUGGUGGUGCAUGGUCGUUCUUAGUUGGUAGAGCGAUUUGUCUGGUUAAUUCCGAUAACGAACGAGACUCUAGCCUGCUAAAUAGGCGUAUUUUGACAUCCUAAAGGCCCGCCGGCUUGGGGUUCGCUCCUUGUCGUGCGCGGUUUUUACUGUCGGCGUACAAACAAUUCUUCUUAGAGGGACAGGUGGCUUUUAGCCGCACGAGAUUGAGCAAUAACAGAUCUGUAAUGCCCUUAGAUGUUCUGGGCCGCACGCGCGCUACACUGAAGGAAUCAGCGUGUCCUCCCUGGCCGAGUGGCCCGGGUAACCCGCUGAACCUCCUUCGUGCUAGG